rnacentral:rRNA from 1 species
AUACGGAGGAUGCGAGCGUUAUCCGGAUUUAUUGGGUUUAAAGGGUGCGUAGGCGGACGAUUAAGUCAGCUGUGAAAUGCCCGCGCCUAACGCGGGCAGUGCAGUUGAUACUGGUUGUCUGGAGUGCCGUUGCCGUGGGGGGAAUGUGUAGUGUAGCGGUGAAAUGCAUAGAUAUUACACAGAACGCCGAUUGUGAAGACACCUCACGAAGCGGUAACUGACGCUCAUGCACGAAAGUGCGGGGAUCGAACAGGAUUAGAUACCCUGGUAGUCCGCACAGUAAACGAUGAAUACUUGUUUUCGGCGAUAUAAUGUCGGAGGCAAAGCGAAAGCGAUAAGUAUUCCACCUGGGGAGUACGCCGGCAACGGUGAAACUCAAAGGAAUUGACGGGG